CACACUCCAAGUUAUGCUUUGUACUUCAACCUCGUUUAACUGUGUUUUUUGCUCCUCUGCAGAUUUUGAAAGCCUAAGCUUUGGAUCUAUGUCACUGAGUUUUCUGGACUACGUUUCUGAAAGUUACUCUGGAUGAUCAAGCCUGUCUUCGUUCUGAGGAUUCCUAUCCUGUGAUCUACCUUCGUUUGGAUUCGCAUCAAGCUGGCAGCUUCCUGUCCUCUUCAUCUCCUGAGCCAAGCCACAAGCGUACCCUGUCCACCCUCCAAUGUUAUCCAGCGCACAUCGAACUUGUUUAUGGUAACCUGAGCUCCACAGAACAGCACCAAGUGAACUCUCUACGGAUGUACCUGCUUAAGACCAGGAUCAUGAAUCUCAUUCCCCCUGGCGACCUGACUAUCAUAACUCAUGAGAGAUUUCGUCCGUUUCGUUCCUGACUAUAUCUUCAAUAAACAAUCUUUAUUUUA